ensembl:lncRNA
CGCCCGGACUAUAAAACCGCUUCCCCACCCCUCACACUUCGCAGACUCCUUUUACCCCGCUGACUCCCUUUGCUUCGCAGACCCCCCUCGCUCCCCUGCUUACCCGCCCCCAGGAGUUCUGCUCGAGAGCGGCCGCCCAAUAAAAGGCCCUGAACAACAGUCCAUAGCGAUGGUUCCUUCUUCCCGCGGCGUUUCUUACAUCUGGCACCCAACGUGGGGCUCGAGGUGAGGGCUUCUGGCACUCGCCGUUGAGGCCCCCUCGAGCUCCACCGCCGCGGUAGCACCCGGACCAACCCCCCAGAUGGCAGGAUACGGGAUCUCUCAGCAGGUGGCUGCGGCCCUAGGUAUCGGCUGGCAUCUUCACAUCCCCUAUCGGCCCCAGUCGUCAGGCAAGGUAGAGCGGGUGAACGGCAUCAUCAAGACACAUCUGACCAAGACAGCCACAGUUCUGAGCGCUCACCCAACAUGUAAGUGAAGGUUCUUUUGGGUAGAAGCACCAGAAGAGGACUCUAGAGAUAAAGAAAAAAUAAAGGGCAUUCUGGGAUGAUUAUGGAGAUGCAACUUAAUGAAGACAUGAAAGCAGAUUUCCUUCUGAGCAAAAUUGGACCUACUAGCACAUGAUUCCACUCUUUUCUUUACC